GUCCGGCUGGUGUGGCCAGGGUCAGAAGGCGAUUACAACUGGUAACAAGCUGAGUGAACCACGGUCCCCCAACCGCAGGCUCUGACUCUGGACUCGCUUCACUUACCCAGACGUGCAUACUUUUGAGUUCUAUCAGGGGAAACAUUAUUAUGACAUUUCCCGUUACAGAGGAUUCUACUAUGAUUUUCUUUCUAACAUAUUUCUGGAACACAGUGACACUGAUGGGAGGAAGGUGGAGAAACCGAGCUGGUGCAAACAAGCAGGUCUCGCUGUUGGAACCGCAAUCAGGUCCAUUCUGGAAGUUGGACACGCAUGUUGCCUCUCCAGAGGGCUGCUGCAGAAUGC